rnacentral:rRNA from 1 species
UGGACUAUUUAUUACCCUUGUCUUUUGCGCACUUGUUGUUUCCUGGGCGGGUUCGCUCGCCACCAGGACCACAAUAUAAACCUUUUUUAUGCAGUUGCAAUCAGCGUCAGUAUAACAAAUGUAAAUCAUUUACAACUUUCAACAACGGAUCUCUUGGUUCUGGCAUCGAUGAAGAACGCAGCGAAAUGCGAUACGUAGUGUGAAUUGCAGAAUUCAGUGAAUCAUCGAAUCUUUGAACGCACAUUGCGCCCUUUGGUAUUCCAAAGGGCAUGCCUGUUCGAGCGUCAUUUGUACCCUCAAGCUUUGCUUGGUGUUGGGCGUUUUUGUCUUUGGCCCGCCAAAGACUCGCCUUAAAAUGAUUGGCAGCCGGCCUACUGGUUUCGCAGCGCAGCACAUUUUUGCGCUUGCAAUCAGCAAAAGAGGACGGCAAUCCAUCAAGACUCCUUCUCACGUUUGACCUCGGAUCAGGUAGGGAUACCC